rnacentral:rRNA from 1 species
GAUGAACGCUGGCGGCGUGCUUAACACAUGCAAGUCGAACGAUGAAGCCCAGCUUGCUGGGUGGAUUAGUGGCGAACGGGUGAGUAACACGUGAGUAACCUGCCCUUAACUCUGGGAUAAGCCUGGGAAACUGGGUCUAAUACCGGAUAGGAGCGUCCACCGCAUGGUGGGUGUUGGAAAGAUUUAUCGGUUUUGGAUGGACUCGCGGCCUAUCAGCUUGUUGGUGAGGUAAUGGCUCACCAAGGCGACGACGGGUAGCCGGCCUGAGAGGGUGACCGGCCACAGUGGGACUGAGACACGGCGCAGACUCCUACGGGAGGCAGCAGUGGGGAAUAGUGCAAAAUGGGCGCAAGCCUGAUGCAGCGACGCCGCGUGAGGGAUGACGGCCUUCGGGUUGUAAACCUCUUUCAGUAGGGAAGAAGCGAAAGUGACGGUACCUGCAGAAGAAGCACCGGCUAACUACGUG